rnacentral:tRNA from 1 species
GGGGGCGUCGUAUAAUGGUAGUACAACGGUCUCCAAAACCGUUUGCGUAGGCUGUUCUGAAGCCUUAGCGAAAGACAGCAGGGGCGGUAGGAAUCGAACCUACGCAAACGGUUUUGGAGACCGUUGUACUACCAUUAUACGACGCCCCCA